UACGGGGGGAGCAAGCGUUGUUCGGAUUUACUGGGCGUAAAGGGCGGGUAGGCGGCCACCGCAAGUCAGUUGUGAAAUCUCUGGGCUUAACCCAGAAAGGUCAACUGAUACUGCGGGGCUAGAGUGCAGAAGGGGCAACUGGAAUUCUCGGUGUAGCGGUGAAAUGCGUAGAUAUCGAGAGGAACACCUGCGGCGAAGGCGGGUUACUGGGCUGACACUGACGCUGAACUGCGAAAGCUAGGGGAGCGAACGGG
rnacentral:rRNA from 1 species